rnacentral:lncRNA from 1 species
CACAGACUGAAGAAACAAGGAAACUGAAGUAGUAUAGUUUUGUGUUUGGUUUUUGAGUAUGUAUAUCACAACAACAGGACCCAAAGAAACCAAGAAACUGAAGUGGAAUAUAUUUUCUCUUUUUUCUUUUCUUAAGGGCUGUUGGUUUGUUGAGAAGGGUAGAAUCAUAGGCAAAGUAGAGAGGGGCAACCACCCUUGAAAGAAAUCCCAUACUCUCUGCUGCCUCAUACUCGUCAUUCCUGCUAAAAGAAGGAAGUUCGUUUAGAUUAGAGCUUCUAACUGACGAGACGUCACAAGUCUGCAUUUAAGAGAAUUUAACUGCAAUAAUGUCCAAAUGCCUACUUAUGUUCUUCAACAAAUUGUGGCUCAGAUGUAUGUAAUGAUAUGGCAAAAGAGAAGCCAGUCUCGCCAUGGCUGCAAAACACCGACUGCAUGAGAGAAAGAGAGAAGUUCUCAACAGGCCAAACCGGGUUGCCACGCCAAGAUACGGGUCGGUUCAUCUCAAUGUUCCAUGAUCAGCCCAGAACUAGAAGAUACAUAAGCAUCAUCAUUAGCCCCUUUCUGUAGCAGAAUGCAUCGUAAUGGAACACUUUCCAGUUUUACACUAACAAUAAGAGAAAACGGGAAGAAAUAUGCAAAGAGCUAAGAGAAGAGAGACUGAAGAUCUGAAGGCGGCCUAAUUGUUGUGGUAAACUUGAAAAUUGGGGAAAUUUCAUCCAGAAAACCAGAGACUGAAGUACUAUGUUGCUCUUUUUUUCUCUUAAAGGCUGUUGGUUUGUUGAGAAGGGGAGAAUCAUAGGCAAAGCAGACAGGGGCAACCACCCUUGAAAGAAAUCCCAUACUCUCUCUGCAGCCUCAUUCUCUCUAUUUCUGGGCAAACCUAAUAGAUGGAAUUUGCUUGUAUGAGAGCUUAAAACGAGAAGACCUCAAUAUCUCCCACUUUGAUCAUGGAAAAGAUAUUGCCCCUUAUGCAUAGUAAAGGGGCAAAUUUGAUCAUUUUCCCUUUUUUUCUUUAGCAAAUUGAGGCUCAGAUUUGUGUAAUGACGAGGAAAAAGAGAAGCCAGCCAUGCCAUGGCUGCAACGCACGAUUGCAUGUGUGAGUUAUGCGUCUCAAUUACAGGCCAUACCGUGUUGUCAUGCCAAGGUACGGGUUGGGUACUCUCCAUGCCCGAAAUCUUGCUAGCCCAGAAAUCAUCACUGCCUCUUUAAUAGUUUUCAUAGUCAUUUUAUAGUUGUAGUAUAGUUGUGUAUACAUAUGUCUUAAGGGUGGUGCAAACUGCAAAUAAACCCAGAAACUCAAUUGUACUCUCUCUGUCUCUUUCUUUUGAAGGGCUGUUGGUUUGUUUUGAGAAAUGGAGAAUCAUAAGCAAAGCAUAGAGAGAAGGCCAACCACCCUUGAUAGAAAUCCCAUACUCUCUGCUGCCUCAUUCUUGCCUUUUAUAGGCUGACCUAACAAAAGGGAAUUCACAAGACUUCAAGCAUCUUUCGGCUAAUUCUUUCUCCUGAGGCUCAGAUUUGUUAUAAAACCAGAGAAAAGGAGACAAAGCAAUCGCCAUGGCUGGAGACCUCAGUUGUUAAGUGGAAUACCUUUACUGGGUAGCCCCGCCAAGAUACGUGCAGCUCCAAUGCCCAACCCAACUCUAUACAACUUCAUUUGUUAUUAUCACAGCCUCAUCCUAUAAUUAAAAGCUAGCAAGGGUACAUAGACCAUACCCCGAUCCUUUGUGGGGGACUAGAGAAGUUGUUUCCAACAGAGCUCAGCUCAAGAAAAUUACAGUCCAGAACCUAAAUGAUGGAAGAAAGAAAACAACAGAAACUAGUGUGUAAUUCAUCUCUCUCUUUCUCUAUUUUAAGGGCUGUUGGUUUGUUCAAAAAUGUAAGAAUCAUAGGCAAAGCAGAGAGAAGGGCAACCACCCUCUAAUAGAAAUCCCAUUACUGUCUCUGCUGCCUCAUUAGGGGCUAACCAAUCAAAAAGGGGCUCACAAGUAAUUACUUGCAAAAACGAAACAGGUCUUUUCCUUGAGGCUCAGAUCUGUGAGAUAAAAUCAAGCAAAAAGGAGACAAAAGCAACCACCAUGGCUGCAGAUCUCACUUUGCAAAACAAUGGAAAUGCCUUACCGGAUCGCCCAGCCAAGAUAUGUGCAAGCUCCAACAGGCCCGACCCAACACUAGACAACUUCAUUUGUCAUCAUCACAGCCUCAUAGGAAGGAGGAGACAGUAUACUUUAUAGCCCAACAGCACAUAAUAUAAGCCAGAAACCCAAAAACGCUCGAAAUACAUGUGAUUAGACCUUUUUCAACUAUGGUGGUUUUGGUGAAAUUUUGAAAAGGAAAUCAUCAGCGGAAGAACAGAGAGAGGACAACCACCAUUAAAGACUCCCCAAUGCCUCUCCGUUGCCUCGUUUGUUCGUCUAGAGUUGCAGAACACACUUACAUUAGGUCAUUUUUUGCCCAACUGCCUAAACAGUCUUUUAGCUUAAGAGGAAAAAAAUGUUUGAUUCUUCUUGCACAAACAACAAUCUUCAUUGACUCUAAAAAGUGGAACAGAGGGAGUAAUAAAUCAAUCAAUUAAGGGUGGUUUUGCAAUUGGAAACACUUCUAUUUGAAAGAUCAUUGGCAGCAGAGAAUGACAGAGAGGGGCAAAACCACCCAUGGAAACUCCCGACAGCUCUGUUUUAACCGCAACCUCAGAUUUAUACAAAGAUGAGUUCCCCAAAAAUGAGGCUCAGGUCUGUUACAUUCA